UGGUGGGUAGUUUGACUGGGGCGGUCUCCUCCCAAAGCGUAACGGAGGAGCACGAAGGUUAGCUAAUCCUGGUCGGACAUCAGGAGGUUAGUGCAAUGGCAUAAGCUAGCUUGACUGCGAGCGUGACGGCGCGAGCAGGUGCGAAAGCAGGUCAUAGUGAUCCGGUGGUUCUGAAUGGAAGGGCCAUCGCUCAACGGAUAAAAGGUACUCCGGGGAUAACAGGCUGAUACCGCCCAAGAGUUCAUAUCGACGGCGGUGUUUGGCACCUCGAUGUCGGCUCAUCACAUCCUGGGGCUGAAGUAGGUCCCAAGGGUAUGGCUGUUCGCCAUUUAAAGUGGUACGCGAGCUGGGUUUAGAACGUCGUGAGACAGUUCGGUCCCUAUCUGCCGUGGGCGCUGGAGAAUUGAGGGGGGCUGCUCCUAGUACGAGAGGACCGGAGUGGACGCAUCACUGGUGUUCGGGUUGUCAUGCCAAUGGCACUGCCCGGUAGCUAAAUGCGGAAGAGAUAAGUGCUGAAAGCAUCUAAGCACGAAACUUGCCCCGAGAUGAGUUCUCCCUGAGACUUUAAGUCUCCUGAAGGAA
rnacentral:rRNA from 1 species